GGAUGCGAUCAUACCAGCACUAACGCACCGGAUCCCAUCAGAACUCCGAAGUUAAGCGUGCUCGGGCGAGAGUAGUACUAGGAUGGGUGACCCCUGGGAAGUCCUCGUGUUGCAUCCCU
rnacentral:rRNA from 1 species